UACGGAGGAUCCAAGCGUUAUCCGGAAUCAUUGGGUUUAAAGGGUCCGUAGGCUGGUAUGUAAGUCAGUGGUGAAAGUUUAUGGCUCAACCAUGAAAUUGCCAUUGAUACUGCAUAUCUUGAAUUAUAUUGCAGUGCUUAGAAUGUGUAGUGUAGCGGUGAAAUGCAUAGAUAUUACACAGAAUACCGAUUGCGAAGGCAGAGCACUAAGUAUAUAUUGACGCUGAUGGACGAAAGCGUGGGUAGCGAACAGG
rnacentral:rRNA from 1 species